AUAUUCUUAAACCUCUGUUUUGACCUUGACUAGAAUCUGAAGAGCAGCAUCUUCUGGACCCAGGUAAGUGUGAUCAAGUGUGUGGCCUGGAGGACACAGUGGGUUCAAUGUGUCUGGCCUUCCCAGGGAGUUCUGACUGGUGAGGACAGGAGCCUCACAGAGGCCUCAGCUCUGCUCCUAGCUGCAGCAUCCUUGGGAUCUUGUCACAAGCAGAGUCCUCAGGACUCGCCCCUGUGGCUAGGGCCACGGGAGGACCUGUGCUGUAAUUUCCUCUGCUCGGUGUUGACACUUGCUUCUGGAUUCCUGCAGUGCUCACUCCUGGUGGGCUGUGCAUUGUGACCUUUCUUCCUUACAUUGUCGCAAAGGCAGAGAGAUGAAGACCCUGCUGGGCUCAGUGACUGGAUAGUACUUGCUACCAAAAGGAAGGCACCCUGCUUUACACAUGGAAGACUUCUAAAUCAGCUCAGAUACCUCAUCCAGGAUCCCCACCUACCUGCCCUGGAGAUUUCCUGCUUCCUACUUUGUCAGUGGGACUAUCAUUUCUGCAAUGAACAGAUCAUGUCACUUAUUUGGAGGUAGCGUUUUGUAGCAGGGAAGUCAAUAUAUUUGGGUUCUAACUGGUUAGCUUUGUAAUCCUUGAAAAUUCACAUUGUUCUCCUUGUGAAAAGUAAGCCCUCAACUAAUAAAACACCUUAAUACAUUGUUAAAAACAUAGACUCACACUUUUAUCCUUGUAUCACCUUUCCUUCAAAUAUUAACCCACAACCCAAUUCUUCUAUAAUUCUUCUAUUUAGCCUAUCUUCUUCCAAAUGCUUACAUGUUCAUAAUUUGGAUUUCUCAGUGGGCACUUACUUAUAUUAAUUUACUUACAAUUAUUCUGUUAUUGAAGUGUUCUAUCUUUUCAUUUGUGCUCUGAGCACAAAUAUAGGGUGUCAGAGUAGGGUGUCAGUUGUAAGCCUAAAACCUGGACUGUUUCUUGAUGAUAACAGGCGUAUGAUGAAUGCUUGUUCUUGCUGUUAAACUCUACUUUUAUCUUAGAUAUGCUUCCGAUGCUCAUUUCAUUAUAGUUUCCCUCAAGGAGAUAAUAUCUAUCUAUUUUUACAUGU
rnacentral:lncRNA from 1 species